ACGGUUUAUAAAGAAUUCAUCUAUUGCCCACUCUACUGCUGUGGUACGUACGGAAGUGGAUACUGUUGUAGUAAUGUGAGUGAACAAAGAUAUUCAAAAAAUGAGAUCGAUUGGAAGGAACAAGUAGACUUGACAUGUGUAGUCUCUAACUGGUCAUGGACAUGGUGGUCAAUGCAAACACUCAAACAUUGCCCUUAUGGAUGUUGCGGUGAUGACAAGGAGUGUUGUAUCAGUGAUGUGAAAUAUUUCAUAUUCUGCAAUUGGCUUGCUUUCUCAAAUAUUUUUCUGGCUCCCAUAUCGUAUUGCCUUGGGCUUUAUUUGUGUCUCUUCCUGGCAAACCAACUCUGCAAGCUGAUGAGACUUCCAAUCCAGCGACCAAUAAUGCCACGAAUACGUGGAUGGUUGCGACGGUUAGGAAUACUACCUACCCCGCCUCAGCGACCUCGGCCCCCAAUCCGGAGAGCUUUUCGUCGACAGUAUCGCGGUUUUUGAGUAUCUUAGAUUACUGUACAUUUAUUCCUGCUCCUGUAUUUGUGUUUAACUUUUUUAAAUAGCUAUUUUUAAUACAUCGUUAUUUUCUCUAUCUUUAC